UACUCAAAACCUAAACCAGCUAACGUUAGAUCUCAAAAGUGUGUAUUGCCACACACUUUCUCUUAUGAAUAUUUUACUUGUAAUUUCUAAAAGUGUUUUUUUCUGUUUAUUUUGUGUUACAGGAAACUACCACCCAAGCAGACGUUGAGGCCCAGAUUUCCCUGCCAAGCACUCUAAGACUCAUCAUGCUCGGAGAGUCCAUUCUGGGGGCAAAUUUCUGGCUGUCCUUUUUGCAUCAUACUAUAUAUUUAACAUGGAAUAUCCUGCGGAGGCAGCCACCACAUUAGAAUUUAUCCAGAGGGUAGAAGACUCCAGCCCAGGAAAUUGACUAAUUCAGGUCCGUUUCUGAAGAAAAAUACAGUUCUGGGAGAAAAACAACAUUCAGGGACCAAAUUCUACUGUUUGAAAUCCUGCUGUUUUUAAAUAAUUUAAUUUGCCUUUUAUACAUUCUAAUUUUAACUGAACAUAUUAAUGCAUUUGAAAAGGAUUUAUUUGUAUGUUCAGAAAAGUGUUGUUGUAUACAAAACCAAAUGAAAUGUUAACAGAGAAAUGUUUACCUAUUGUGUUCCUGUAGCUCAA